AUUGAACGCUGGCGGAAUGCUUUACACAUGCAAGUCGAACGGCAGCACGGGGGCAACCCUGGUGGCGAGUGGCGAACGGGUGAGUAAUACAUCGGAACGUGCCCGGUCGUGGGGGAUAACGUAGCGAAAGUUACGCUAAUACCGCAUACGAUCUGAGGAUGAAAGCGGGGGACCUUCGGGCCUCGCGCGAUCGGAGCGGCCGAUGUCAGAUUAGGUAGUUGGUGGGGUAAAGGCCUACCAAGCCGACGAUCUGUAGCUGGUCUGAGAGGACGACCAGCCACACUGGGACUGAGACACGGCCUAGACUCCUACGGGAGGCAGCAGUGGGGAAUUUUGGACAAUGGGCGCAAGCCUGAUCCAGCCAUUCCGCGUGCAGGACGAAGGCCUUCGGGUUGUAAACUGCUUUUGUAUGGAACGAAAAGGCUCUGGCUAAUACCUGGGGCUCAUGACGGUACCGUAAGAAUAAGCACCGGCUAACUACGUG
rnacentral:rRNA from 1 species